GUUCACCAUCACUGCCCUAAAGGCAUCAGAUCCCAUCUGAUCUUGGAAACUAAGCAAGGUCAGUAUUUGUUACCACUUGGAUGGGAGACCACCAAGGAAUGCCAGAUGCUGUGGGUA
rnacentral:rRNA from 1 species